rnacentral:rRNA from 1 species
AGAGGAGGACGGGUGAGUAAUUUAUGGGGAAUGCCCGCUAGAGGGGGCUCAAUAAUGGAAACGGUAGCUAAUACCGCCUACUAUCAGAUAACACAUAUGGGAUUAGCUAGUAGGUGAGGUAAUUGCUUACCUAUGCGACGAACCCUAGCUGGUCUGAGAGGAGGAUCAGCAACACUUGGACUGAGCCACGGCCCAGACUCCUACGGAGGCAGCAGUGGGGAAUAUUGAACAAUGGGCGCAAGCCUGAUGCAGCCAUUCCUCGUGUAUGAAGAAGGCCCGAGGUUUGUAAAGUACUUUCAGUCGGGAGGCGUUACCGACAGAAGAAGCACCGGCUAACUCCGUGCCAGCAGACGCGGUAAUUC